rnacentral:rRNA from 1 species
GAAUAUUGGACAAUGGGCGCAAGCCUGAUCCAGCCAUGCCGCGUGAGUGAUGAAGGCCUUAGGGUUGUAAAGCUCUUUCAGCGGGGAAGAUAAUGACGGUACCCGCAGAAGAAGCCCCGGCUAACUUCGUGCCAGCAGCCGCGGUAAUACGAAGGGGGCUAGCGUUGUUCGGAAUUACUGGGCGUAAAGGGCGCGUAGGCGGACUGUUAAGUCAGGGGUGAAAUCCCGGGGCUCAACCCCGGAACUGCCUUUGAUACUGGCGGUCUUGAGUUCGGGAGAGGUGAGUGGAAUUCCGAGUGUAGAGGUGAAAUUCGUAGAUAUUCGGAGGAACACCAGUGGCGAAGGCGGCUCACUGGCCCGAUACUGACGCUGAGGCGCGAAAGCGUGGGGAGCAAACAG